GCUGGCGCAGCUUACCAUGCAAGUCGAACGGUAACAGGGAGCUUGCUCCGCUGACGAGUGGCGAACGGGUGAGUAAUACAUCGGAACGUGCCCAGUAAUGGGGGAUAGCUCGGCGAAAGCCGGAUUAAUACCGCAUACGCCCUGAGGGGGAAAGUGGGGGACCGCAAGGCCUCACGUUAUUGGAGCGGCCGAUGGCUGAUUAGCUAGUUGGUAGGGUAAAGGCCUACCAAGGCGACGAUCAGUAGCUGGUCUGAGAGGACGAUCAGCCACACUGGGACUGAGACACGGCCCAGACUCCUACGGGAGGCAGCAGUGGGGAAUUUUGGACAAUGGGGGAAACCCUGAUCCAGCAAUGCCGCGUGUGCGAAGAAGGCCUUCGGGUUGUAAAGCACUUUUGUCAGGGAAGAAAUCCUUUGGGCUAAUACCCUAGGGGGAUGACGGUACCUGAAGAAUAAGCACCGGCUAACUACGUGCCAGCAGCCGCGGUAAUACGUAGGGUGCAAGCGUUAAUCGGAAUUACUGGGCGUAAAGCGUGCGCAGGCGGUUGUGUAAGACAGGUGUGAAAUCCCCGGGCUUAACCUGGGAAUUGCAUUUGUGACUGCACGACUAG
rnacentral:rRNA from 1 species